rnacentral:hammerhead_ribozyme from 1 species
GUACUGCUGAGGAGUCCCACAAUAGGACGAAACGGCCGUAAAGCAA